UACGUAGGGGGCAAGCGUUGUCCGGAAUUAUUGGGCGUAAAGAGCGCGUAGGCGGUCCGAUAAGUCGGCUGUGAAAGUCAGGGGCUCAACCCUUGGAAGCCGGCCGAUACUGUCGGACUAGAGUCCGGAAGAGGCGAGUGGAAUUCCCGGUGUAGCGGUGAAAUGCGCAGAUAUCGGGAGGAACACCAAUGGCGAAGGCAGCUCUCUAGUACGGUACUGACGCUGAGACGCGAAAGCGUGGGGAGCAAACAGG
rnacentral:rRNA from 1 species